rnacentral:snoRNA from 12 species
GUGCAUUCUUCAUUUCUCUUGGUAGCUAUACUCUAAAUGCUUCCAAGAUAUGAAUGAAUGCUAUAUAAACUGUAGGGACAUCCAAAGGGCUGUGAUUCUCCUAUGUCUCAGUCUUAUUUCAUACCUGCAACAUGU